rnacentral:tRNA from 1 species
AAUGUAGCUCAAUUGGUUAGAGCGUCGGAUUGUGGUUCCGAAGGUCGCGGGUUCGACCCCCGUCUU